GUGAAUGGUGUCUGUUCAUGUGGCCCGCACGGGCUCAUGAACUGGGUAAUGACGAAUCUUCAACGACGUUGCUAUUGAACGUUGUAGAAAUCACACGAAGAAUCGAGAUCAAACGCAAUAAGGCACACGGUGGAUGCCUUGGCAUCGAGAGGCGAUGAAGGACGUGGUAAGCUGCGAUAAGCCUGGGGGAGUUGCACACGAGCUGUGAUCCCAGGAUGUCCGAAUGGGGAAACC
rnacentral:misc_RNA from 1 species